rnacentral:rRNA from 1 species
UACGGAGGGUGCAAGCGUUAAUCGGAAUUACUGGGCGUAAAGCGUGCGUAGGUGGUUUAGUAAGUUAUCUGUAAAAGCCCUGGGCUCAACCUGGGAAGGCCAGAUAAUACUGCUAAACUCGAGUAUAAGAGAGGGUAGUGGAAUUUCCGGUGUAGCGGUGAAAUGCGUAGAGAUCGGAAGGAACACCAGUGGCGAAGGCGGCUACCUGGCUUAAUACUGACACUGAGGCACGAAAGCGUGGGGAGCAAACAGG